AUUUACAGUUACAGAACUGCUUUGGUUGAUACAGAAUACUUUAGAUAAACUAAAAGACAGGGGAAAUAGGCAAGCAUUAGAAAAAAAAAAAAAAAAAAAACAAUGGCAGACUAUCAGGAAACAGAAUGACAAGAUGAGUAAGUGUAAGAAAGAGUUGAGUGAGAGAGAGAGAGAGUUGAGUGAGAGAGAGAGAGAACGGCUGCUCAUCCGCAGGGCCAGCGGAGCCAACGCCUCUCAGCUGGCUCAUAUGGAAAAGAUGCUACAAGAAACCAAAGGCCUGCUGGAGAAGAAGACAGAGACGGAUUCAGAAAGCAAAGCCUGUGGGGACACUAUGGUGUCUGAUCUGGAGCAGAAGGUCCAGCGCAGCAAGCGAGACCGUCGUAACUCUCUCCACCGCACACAGCUGCUGGAGAGUCAGAUGAAGACGGUUCGCGGCGAGCUGGUUGGCACGCUUGACCACCUGCAGGAGCUGCGCAACAUACUGCGACGCUCGCAGCAGAACGCAGAAGAGCGGGACGCAGCCAUGCAAAAACUAGCUGCAGGGCUGAGGUGAGACACCACAUGUCUGCCUGCAGUUCCUGGGUUACCACAUCCAUUCAUCUCAUCUUAAAGACUUUAAAGCACUGUUCCUCUGAAAUAUCUGUUUGACUGCACAUCCA
ensembl:lncRNA